rnacentral:lncRNA from 1 species
CAACAUAAUAAACGUACUUGUGCAUCCCGUAAGAUUAUUUUGGCAUUUCACAGCAAUAUAACAUUUCUUAUAAUAUAUUUAAUCAUGGCAUAAUAGGCGUAAUAUCAAUCUAAAAACAAUAAUGGCAUGAUAUGCAUAAUUCAAUUCAAAAGCAUUUGUGGAAACUAUAAAGUUUACAUAUACACACACACACACACGAAAACAAAUGCCCACUCACUAAUACGUGGUAGCCUUGCUUGACUUCGUACAUCGUCGGGAUAAUUUUCACCUAUAUGUGAAAUAACUAAACUAAUAAAUUAAAUAGGACAUAUUAAAAAAGGGUAGGUAAGUUUCCCAUACUUUGCUCAAACGAAAGGUUUGAAUAUACGAAAAUGAUCUACACGAAGUCACCGACCUGUACAUGUCAAGCACUCACCAGCCGAUGGCCGGAUGCGCCCUCACGCGCCAGCUAGCCCACGGCCACACGCGCCUCCACGCACAAGCCUUUGAUUGACAGAGACUGACAAACGUUAGGACUAUUCCUUUAGAAUUGAUGGAAUAUUCUAUUAAAUAGUAACGAUGUAACCUGACGCCAUUAGAAUAUUCUGUCAACUUUGACGGAAUAUUCUUCGUCUUCUCCAGUGAGCCUUGCCAUCCACCGCCGUCUGGUUCACCGGUUUUUUGUUUCUGGGAAAAAUUUCAAAAUCGCAUAACUUGCUCAUUUCUCAACCAUUUUCAAUGAUCUUUAUAUGGAAAUGAAGCCCAUGACGAGGAGAACAAGAUUAUACCUUCCAAAAUUCCAAAAAUGGAUGGGAAAUGGCCUGAAUAAUCCUUGAAAUGUUUGGCCUAAACUUCGACUCACUCAAACUUGCUUGUUUCGACGUCAACUAAACUCCGAACUUAGUCUAGGGACCCUAGGGAGUUGUGUAGAAGCUUCCCCAUGUCCUAAAACCUUGUAACUUGGCCUGAAACUCGUCAGAGCAAAACCUACUGAGUCGGACCUUUCGAGUUAAUGGGUUAAAACUUGGUCAUUUCACUAUCUGCUGGUAUAGGUGGGUUUGUGAGGAGAUGAUGGUGGUUUUAUGCUUAAUUUGUGAGGUUUUGAUGAUGAUCCUUGGUGUUGUAGAGAUGAGAAAGUCUCAGGAUAGAGAGAGAAGGAGAAGAUGAGAGAAAGUGAGAUGAUGUUUUCUAAUUGGUGGAAUAAGGAAGUGAGAGGGUGAGUCUGAUUGGUAGAGAGAUGUGAGGGAUGAAUUUGAUUGGUGGGUGAACAACAAGUCACGGUUCCAAUUUUAAAGAAGAAAAGGGAUAGGAUUUUGUACAAAUGAAGUCAGACGAAAUCUAACGUAAUCUAACGUACCCUAUCGAAAACAGUGUUUUCAACACUGGAAUAUUAGUACACACGUGUACAAAUUUACCCGUUGUCAACACACUUUAACGUAUCGUAACUUUUUCGUUACAAGUCUGAUUUGAGCCUAACUCAUUCCCAAGCGUGCAUAACAACAAGUACUAUUUAAUUACGUAACGAGAAAAAUAAUUUAAAGCCGGAAAACCAUGUCCACGUCACUUUGCCAAUAAGGGCACAAAUGUCAAAAACAAUUUUUUUUGUUUUACUAAACACAUUUAAUGUUCCAGAUUUUUUAACAAGCUGUUUUUUUAAAGCACCACAAUUCCAAAUCAAUCCUAAAAUAACCAAGAUUAAUUGACUGAUUAAAUGAUUUUUUUGUAACGAAAAUCUUUAAAAAAAAAUUCUUAAAAACUAAAUGACUCGGAUAAUUAAAUAUAUAUUUGUACGAAAACCUACCAGUGAUAAUUCUCAAAUAAGCCCUCAAUUGAAACCUUUAUGCUACCUUUAGCUUUCGGUCCAAUAUUCCUCUACCAAAUCAGUAUAUAAACAUAUUUCUUCUGUAUGCUGGGAUAGUAUAGUUUUGGACAAUUCCAAACUCUCCACCUCAUAAGGUUGGAUGUUUGAAUAUAAUUGGCAUAUAAG